AAGUUUUACAGGAUCAUGCGCCAACACAAAGAUAUGCCGGUUUUGGGGAAGGAUACUCAUGGAGAUGAACUAUAUGCUUGCUUAUGGUUCAACUGAAGCUUCUUUGAGGUUGUUGUGGAGGUUUGUCCACCUUGAACAUUUGUUGCCCUUUCAGGUUAUUGCCUUAGACAUUAAUUUACCUAUGAAGCAAUCAUUCCAUAUUCUCCAUGAACAGUCUUUACAGUGAAGGAUACUCAUGGGGAUGAACUAUAUGCUUGCUUAUGGUUCAACUGAAGCUUCUUUGAGGUUGUUGUGGAGGUUUGUCCACCUUGAACAUUUGUUGCCCUUUCAGUAUGUACAGGCACUCAGACAACAUAUUUCUCUUCGACUCAUUUUAAGAGGAAGGAUAAAGGAACUAAUAUGCUACUUGUGGGUUUUAUUUUGACAUUUGUUUACUACUCUUAUGUAGAUUGAAAGGAGCUUAAAAUCUUCAAUUGACAUGUUGUAAAGAUGAAAUAGAAACUUAUAUAUUUAUUAUAUUCUCUUCUUGCUCUCUAUCCCACUUUGCAGAGCAGAAUGUUUCGUCAUUUUCACUAAAAACUAUAAUCAAUUAAGCAUUUGUUUUUCUUAUAGAGUUAGUACUUUCUCUAUGUUAUUCUUAUGUACUUCAUUUGCCCUUCUGGUCCUGUAGGGUUGUGUGUUAUUUUAGCUGAUAUGGAAACAUGGCUGAGUUGUGUGUUAUUUUAUCUUACUUUUGGUUAUUUGAAAGUUUAUGUAAAGGACAACCAUCUCAUUUAUUAGGAUUAUAUUAUAUUUCAG